CUUACAUUGUGUUCCGAAGACGAACAAAGCUUUUACGGGUUUGGAACGACAUGGGGAUGCUCUGAUGUGAGGGAUUUGCCGACAGGUUUCUCUGUACACGAUCCGGAGAUUCUGCAGUCCGGUCUGGAAUUUCCUCAAAACCACAUACACACCGAGGCCAAACACAAACACACAGGGCAGAAUAUCUCCCUGCAGGUCUGUAAUCAGUAAAGUGGAGCUCUUUCGUUCGUUUCUGAAACUGGUGGCAGCAACCAAAGACUCUCGGCUUCAAGUGUCCCUCCGUGGAAAAGAUUUGAAGACGUACUGGGACUACAAGCAGGCUGCAGGGCCGUAUCAGCAGGCCUGGACACAGCUGCGUCUGCAGGCCUUCCCGCUGUGGCCCCGCAGCCCACCAGAACUGUUGCUGUUUUCCUAGCAGACUGGACUUUACCAUAUCAGUGUCCUAAACGGGCUCAAAUGAAUAAAAGCUGUGUCUUAUACUCAAGGCUCCAGCAGAGAACAAAUAAAUAAAUGUAAAAAAAAUUGUAAAAUAAAAGUGUAAAAUACUAAGUGCUACUUAAACAGUAUUAGGGAGUAACUAGUUACAUGUAACUAAAUUAUGUAAUGUAAUUACAAAAUAAAUGUAACUGUAAUCUGUUACAGUUACUGAGAAAAAAUGUGUAAUUAAAUUACAGUUGCUUCUAAAAAAUGUUAAUAAGAGGGGUUACAUCUGAAUAUUUUCAUACAUACCGAUUUAAUUGGUUUCUUUCAUAAAUUGCAUUGAUUGCUUUAAAAUAUGAGACACCAAUGUUUCAGGAGUUUAGGACACAAAAUAUGACACAUGCUUAUUCUAGAACGGUUUUAUUUCCUACUUAGGUUUAUGCUUGUGUAUGCUUCAAUUUUAAGAUUAACAUUUUUUUUUUCCAAGGCAUUGUUAGAUACCAGUGUUUCCUGUCAUAGCAAAUAUUUG